GGANACGAUUUAUCUGAACCUUCGGGGUAACGAUAACGGCGUCGAGCGGCGGACGGGUGAGUAAUGCCUGGGAAAUUGCCCUGAUGUGGGGGAUAACUAUUGGAAACGAUAGCUAAUACCGCAUAACGUCUACGGACCAAAGAGGGGGACCUUCGGGCCUCUCGCUUCAGGAUAUGCCCAGGUGGGAUUAGCUAGUUGGUGAGGUAAUGGCUCACCAAGGCGACGAUCCCUAGCUGGUCUGAGAGGAUGAUCAGCCACACUGGGAACUGAGACACGGUCCAGACUCCUACGGGAGGCAGCAGUGGGGAAUAUUGCACAAUGGGCGCAAGCCUGAUGCAGCCAUGCCGCGUGUAUGAAGAAGGCCUUCGGGUUGUAAAGUACUUUCAGUCGUGAGGGAAGGC
rnacentral:rRNA from 1 species